CUUUCUGGUCUGUACUGACGCUGAUGUGCGAAAGCGUGGGGAUCAAACAGGAUAAGAUACCCUGGUAGUCCACGCCGUAAACGAUGAGUGCUAAGUGUUAGGGGGUUUCCGCCCCUUAGUGCUGCAGCUAACGCAUUAAGCACUCCGCCGGGGGAGUACGACCGCAAGGUUGAAACUCAAAGGAAUUGACGGGGACCCGCACAAGCGGGGGAGCAUGGGGUUUAAUUCAAACCAACGCGAAAAACCUUACCAAAUCUUGACAUCCUUUGACAACUCUAGAGAUAGAGCCUUCCCCUUCGGGGGACAAAGUGACAGGUGGUGCAUGGUUGUCGUCAGCUCGUGUCGUGAGAUGUUGGGUUAAGUCCCGCAACGAGCGCAACCCUUAAGCUUAGUUGCCAGCAUUAAGUUGGGCACUCUAAGUUGACUGCCGGUGACAAACCGGAGGAAGGUGGGGAUGACGUCAAAUCAUCAUGCCCCUUAUGAUUUGGGCUACACACGUGCUACAAUGGACAAUACAAAGGGCAGCUAAACCGCGAGGUCAUGCAAAUCCCAUAAAGUUGUUCUCAGUUCGGAUUGUAGUCUGCAACUCGACUACAUGAAGCUGGAAUCGCUAGUAAUCGUAGAUCAGCAUGCUACAGUGAAUACGUUCCCGGGGUCUUGUACACACCGCCCGUCACACCACGAGAGUUUGUAACACCCGAAGCCGGUGGAGUAACCAUUUAUGGAGCUAGCC
rnacentral:rRNA from 1 species